rnacentral:rRNA from 1 species
AAAUUGAAGAGUUUGAUCAUGGCUCAGAUUGAACGCUGGCGGCAGGCCUAACACAUGCAAGUCGAACGGUAACAGGAAACAGCUUGCUGUUUCGCUGACGAGUGGCGGACGGGUGAGUAAUGUCUGGGAAACUGCCUGAUGGAGGGGGAUAACUACUGGAAACGGUAGCUAAUACCGCAUAACGUCGCAAGACCAAAGAGGGGGACCCUCGGGCCUCUUGCCAUCGGAUGUGCCCAGAUGGGAUUAGCUUGUUGGUG